CUUAGGAUCAAUUUUCUCUCAGGAGGCUCCUCAUUGACUCAUGCAAACAGAUUUCUGGCAGGAACUGCUCCAAAGCCUUCCAGAUGUUCACAGGCAUGGAUGAAUCAGAGCAAAAAUGGACAGAUGCAACUGAAAUGGAGGGUUCUGCUAUAAUCUCAAAAAAUCUCGUACCCAGGCUGGAGUGCAGUGGCAUGAUCUUGGCUCACUGCAACCUCUGCCUCCCAGGUUCAAGCGAUUCUCCUGCCUCAGCCUCUCGAGUAGCUGGGAUUACAGGCAACUACCAUUUAUCCCCCCUCUGUCUUUCUAUGUUCACCUGACAAGCUCCUGGUGGUAGCCAAUAGCUCUGACAGAGAGUGACAGAAAUAAGGGGUGGGUUUAGCUGAUAACCUCACCAGUCUUCACUUCGACUCUUCCUUCACUGCCCCUUCAGUUGUGCGGACCUUCCUCUUGGGCAUCUUGGCAGCAGGGAGGGCGCCUGAGGGUACUGGUGCCUGCAGGCUUUGAGCACGGGGAGCCUUCUUGAAGCAGGGCUGCCUGGCCACUUGGAAAAAGGUGGAUUAAUUUGGGGAUAUCCGAGGAGCCCCAGAGGGCCAUUGUAAUUCAAGAUCUUCAGUAAAGUUUUGCCGCGGAGAAAGAACCGGGCCAGUAUUGGGACCAUGGUGGUGGCGCAGGAUUGGAGGAACAGAGGUUUCAGUUGACUGAGAAGUUCCUGUGAGAGAAACAGCCUUAAAUAGGGAGAACAGAAAGAUGUCGUGAGGAGUCAGGAAAGAAAAUUUUCCAGGGGUCAGGGAAUGAAUUCCAAUCAGAACAAGGAGCCAGCAAGAACUUCCAGCCUAGGAGGUACUUUUCAAAAGAAGCCUGGGACUCUAACCCAGUUUCCGAGAGUAUACUCAGAAUUGUAAGAAUCAGGCAGGGCGCGGUGGCUCAUGCCUGUAAUCCCAGCACUUUGGAGGCUGAGGUGGGUGGAUCACCUGAGGUCGGGAGUGUGAGAUCAGCCUGAUUAACAAGAUGAAGCCCCAUCUCUACUAAAAAAAUACAAAAUUAGCUGGGCAUCGUAGUGCACGCCUGUAAUCCCAGCUACUUGGGAGGCUUAGGCAGGAGAAUUGCUUGAACCCGGGAGGUGGAGGUUGCAGUGAGCCAAGAUCGCCCCAUUGCACUCCAGCCUGGGCAACAAGAGUGAAAUUCUGCCUGGGGUGGGAGGAGUGUGGGGGGAAGAAUUGUAAGAAUCAAAACCUGUGCUCCAUGUGCGUCAACAAAUGCUUGUUCAGGCACUGGAUGUGGAGUUCGAUUCCCCACUGGAUACCCAAACUGCAGGAGGUAGGUUCCCAUCUGGACCCAAGUCGCCGUCUCAGGCCAUUGUCAGAAACACAGCGGGACGUGAGUUAAAGUGGUGAAAAAACAGAUUUUAUUCAGUAACUACUGAAAGCAGGGAAGGAGCUGAGCUCUAUUCCAAUUUGGGCAGAGGUAAUUUGGGUGUUUUAAAGAAAGAAUGAGGGAGACGGGAAUAAGGGAGCUCCGAAGUGUCGGGGAAGUGAAAAAGUGCAAAGGAGAGCUUCCAGAUAGCAAAACACAUGGAGGUUCCUGGAGGGUGUCCUCCCAGAGAGGACGUGGAACCUUCCCGCUCCCACUGCACACUUGCCCUGUGCGUCUCUUCCGUCUGGCUGUUCAUCUGCAUACGUGGUAAUUUCCUUUAUAGUAAACCAGUAAAUGGAAAUUUGUAGCAGCUGUGAAAAACUUCAAUUUUCUGAAUCCACUUUUGGUUUUUAGUGGCGAUUGUUUAAAUGCCUCAGUUUUAAGUACCAUAACGAAAGGAAAGCAUACGAUUCCUUUAUUAAUGAAUCAGAGGAACAUUUUGCAGUUUUUGUUUUGCUUUUUCAGACAGGGUCUUAUUCGUCAUCCAGGCUGGAGUGCAUUGUUGGGAACACAGCUCACUACCUACUCAGCCUCCUGAGCUCAAGCGAUCCUCCCACCUCAGUCUUUCGAGUUGCUAGGACCACAGGCGCCCACGCACUACACCGCCCAACUAGUGUUUUGUUUUAUAUUAUAUUAUAUUAUUUAAUUUUAUUUUAUUUUGUAGAGACAGAGGUCUCACUAUGUCAACCAGGCUAGUUUUGAACUCCCGACCUCAAGCAAUCCUCCUCCCACCUCAGCCUCCCAAAGUGCUAAAAUGAUAGGUAUGAGCCACUGCACCCAGCGAUUUUGCAGUUUUUGGAAACCACGAGCUUGAUUUUGGUGUGGACAUUUUGGAAACAAAUGCACUGCAUGUGUUCUCAGUAAUGUUGAUGAUAGAUUUACUUCUGAACCUUUUGGACGUGUGUAUGUUAGAAGUUCUCCACCAAAUUUAUGUGGAAUUAAAUAGCUGUGAAAUUACUGUAAGAAGAACCGAAGCAACAUUGGAAAUUUGGUAACUAAUGCCAUGUUGGAAGCUACUCGUGCCGAUGUAGCAUUGCUUCAUACAGGUACUUCCAGAUCUAAUUGAAUAUAUCCAGUGGGAAAUUUCA